AUGGGAUCUGCCGUUCAUGCCAAAGCCUCAUCCAGAAGGGAGAGGCAGCUUCCUCAGUUAGACAGAUCCACACAUGGAAAUCAACUUUCUGCAGGCAUCAGGAUAAAUGAAGUUACGGUCUCGUUCAGAAUGAAUUUAUGCUGUUUUGUGAAGUAGCUUGAUUUUCCUGAUACACUGCUAAUGACCAUGCUUGAUAACUGAGAGCAGAUCAGGUAGGUUUCCUGCUCUUCUCUCCUUGCAAAUGUUUGUUCUGUCAAUACAGCCUCUGUAUUACUGAAUUUUUG
rnacentral:lncRNA from 1 species